AGAGGAUUUGAUCCUGGUCCAGGAUGAACGCUGGCGGCGUGGAUAAGGCAUGCAAGUCGAGCGGUCGUUUGUGCUUCACUAUGUUCAGCACAAACUCCCCAAAUUCAAAAUGCAAAUCUCAAAAUGCAAAAUAAUGGUUUCGCCAAAGGUGAAUCAACAAUUUUGAUUUUUGAACUUUAAUUUUUUACUUUGAGCGAGUGGUGAGCGUAGCGAAGCACGAACGAUAGCGGCGAACGAGUUAGUAACACCUUGGUACCUACCCCAGAGCCGGGCAUAGCCAGCCGAAAGGUUGGGUAAUUCCCGAUGGUCUCGCAAGAGUAAAGACGCAAGUCACUCUGGGAUGGACCUAGGUCUGAUCAGCUUGUUGGUAGGGUAACGGCCUACCAAGGCUAUGACCAGUAGGGGGGGUGAGAGCCCGAUCCCCAACGAGGAAACUGAGACACGGUUCCUACUCCUACGGGAGGCAGCAGUCAAGAACAUUCGACAAUGGGCGAAAGCCUGAUCGAGCGACGCCGCGUGCAGGAUGAAGCAUCUCGGUGUGUAAACUGCUUUUCCACCGGAGAAAGUCGCAAGACUGAUAGUACGGUGGGAAUAAGUGGCUGCAAACUUCGUGCCAGCAGCCGCGGUAAUACGAAGGCCACAAGCGUUAUCCGGAUUUAUUGGGCGUAAAGGGCGCGUAGGGGGCUUGGUAAGUCUGUGGUUAAAUUUCGGGGCUUAACUCCGGAGCUGCCUCGGAAACUACCAGGCUAGAGGACGUUAGAGGUAGAUGGAACGCACGGUGUAGGGGUGAAAUCCGUUGAUAUCGUGCGGAACACCAAAGGCGAAGGCAUUCUACUGGGACGUUCCUGACCCUGAGGCGCGAAAGCGUGGGGAGCAAAAAGGAUUAGAUACCCUUGUAGUCCACGCCCUAAACGAUGCUGACUAGCUGUCUCGAGUAUCGACCCUCGGGGUGGCGUAGCUAACGCGUUAAGUCAGCCGCCUGGGAAGUACGAGCGCAAGCUUAAAACUUAAAGAAAUAGGCGGGAAUUCGCACAAGCGGUGGAUCAUGUGGUUUAAUUCGACACUGAGCGAAGAACCUCACCAAGGCUUGAAAUCCUAGUGUAAGCUCCGGGAAACCGGGGCCCCCGCAAGGCUCUAGGACAGGUGCUGCACGGCUGAACUAUCGGCCGGUAGGGGAGCAAUUCCCUACAAAAAUAACCAGCUCAUAACGGUGGAGUCCGAAAUAUAUUAAUGUUAAAAUUAAUAUAUGGAUAAUACCGUGGGAAGCCCGAAUACAAGUUUUUGUAACUUUCCGAAAUCAACUCAAGAUUAUUAUAUUCUUGGCCUUUGGUGCGCUGAUGGCUACCACUGGACAAGCAGUAUAGGAUUGAGCAAUAUUGAUUUAAUUUUAAUUAAGAAAUUUAGAAAUUUUCUUUCAGGAUUAUUUCCUAAAGAAAGAAUUAAAUUGGAUCAAUACAGAACAGGAAAGAGAAAAUAUGUUGGAUAUAAGAUUUAUGUAAAUUGCAGGCCGUUAUUAAGAAUUUUUAAAAAAUUCAAAGACAAUAAUAACGAGAGGAGUAUAAAUAAUGCCGAAGCAAUAAAAGCUUAUAUCGCAGGAAGAUUUGAUGGCGAUGGUUGUAUAUCUAAAGACCUAAAACGAGAUUGCAGAAUAUCUUAUGGAAAUGAGAUUGAUGCAAAACUUGACACCAAUUUAUUACAAGAAAUUGGCAUUAUGCCCAAACUAUACAGAUAUCGCACAUCAAAUACAUUUGUAAUUUAUAUUUCUAGAUUUGAUACUAAAAAAUUUACAAAUGUAAUCAGUCCAUAUUCAAUAAAGUUACAAAAACUUGUACUUGGGUCCCGUAGAGACUCUGACUAUACAGAGAUAGUCAGGAUGGCAACAAAUAAUAUAUAAUAUUGCCAUAAAACGCUGGCUCCCUCCCCAAGCAUGGAGAGGGAUGAAAGUAUAGUCCGUACCAUUAGGAAUAAUGGAAUAAUACGGUCGUCAGCUCGUCUCGUGAGAGGUUUCCUUAAGUGGAUUAACGAGCGCAACCCCUAUCGUCUGUUAUAUUUGUCAGGCGAGACUGCUUUCGUAAGGAAGAGGAAGGUGGGGAUGACGUCAAGUCAGCGUGGCCCUCUGAUGUCUUGGGCUACACACAUGAUACAAUGGAUGUUACAAUGGGUUGCCAACCCGCGAGGGGGAGCUAAUCCCAUCAAAGGCAUCCUCAGUUCGGAUAGGAGGCUGAAACUUGCCUCCUUGAAGCCGGAAUCGCUAGUAAUCGCAGAUCAGAACGCUGCGGUGAAUACGUUCUCGAAUUUUGCACUCACAAUAAAAGCGCUCGGCAGGUUUCUUUUCUAAACGGUUAAAAUCCGUUCCUCCGACAACCCGUGUUGGAGCGUAGUCAAAAGUUAGUCCCGAUCCGCGAGGAUUGAGGACGAAGGAACUAAAGACAAAAAGCAGUCCCACGAUAAAACACCCUGAAUUGACCUAUGAUUGGCAGUGAGCAUAGGGAAAAUUCCUUGAAAGGGGCCGCGGGAAUGCAAGGAAUAGAAAAGCAACUAACCCGAGGAGAUCUGGCGUAAAGCAAUUUAUGCGCUUUGCAUAGUUUGCUAAAAUGGCAUAAUAGAUUUGACGCCGCGUCAGAAGUCAGCUGAAUCAUAGUAAUCCAAUCGGAUGAAGGAUUCACUCCAAUGCAAAAUGCUUACACCAGAUUAUAUAAUUGGAUUAACAGACGGAGAAGGAAGCUUUACGGUUUAUCUUCGAAAUCCCGAAAAUCCAAUUAAAAAGAAAAGGCGAGUAUACGCAGAGCCAAGAUUCUAUAUAAAACUUAUAGAGAAAGACAAGGAUAUUCUUUAUAGGCUUAAAAAAUUCUUUGGUUGUGGAAGCGUAUAUUUCCAAAGAGAUGUUCGACCUAAUCACCAGAAUUGUUAUCGUUACGAAGUUUAUAAUCGUAAUGAUUUGAAAAAAAUUAUAAUUCCUUUUUUCAAAAAAUAUCAUCUUAAGUUCAAUUCUAAAAAAAAUGAUUUUAAAAUAUUCUGUGAUUUGUUCGAAAGAAUUUGUAAAAAUGAGCAUCUUAAUACGGAAGGCCUGAAAUUCUUGUGUAAUCUAAAAGCAAAAAUGCAUUAGAGCUCGUCGUAUGCGGGAAAUCCGCAGGUACGAUGGGAACAUCAACUCUUAAUCUAAGAGGAUACUUGCCCGUCAAGUCAAGGGAGCUGGGAAUACCUGAAGAUCCGUAUUUUUAUAUGGAGACACGGUAGGCUCAGUGACAAGGACUAAGUCGUAACAAGGCAAGGGUAGCGGAAGCUGCUCUUGGAUCACCUCCUU
rnacentral:rRNA from 1 species